CGAGUGGCGAACGGGUGAGUAACGCGUGAGGAACCUGCCUCAAAGAGGGGGACAACAGUUGGAAACGACUGCUAAUACCGCAUAAGCCCACAGCUCGGCAUCGAGCAGAGGGAAAAGGAGUGAUCCGCUUUGAGAUGGCCUCGCGUCCGAUUAGCUGGUUGGUGAGGUAACGGCCCACCAAGGCGACGAUCGGUAGCCGGACUGAGAGGUUGAACGGCCACAUUGGGACUGAGACACGGCCCAGACUCCUACGGGAGGCAGCAGUGGGGAAUAUUGCACAAUGGGGGAAACCCUGAUGCAGCGACGCCGCGUGGAGGAAGAAGGUCUUCGGAUUGUAAACUCCUGUUGUUGAGGAAGAUAAUGACGGUACUCAACAAGGAAGUGACGGCUAACUACGUGCCAGCAGCCGCGGUAAAACGUAGGUCACAAGCGUUGUCCGGAAUUACUGGGUGUAAAGGGAGCGCAGGCGGGAAAGCAAGUUGGAAGUGAAAUCCAUGGGCUCAACCCAUGAACUGCUUUCAAAACUGUUUUUCUUGAGUAGUGCAGAGGUAGGCGGAAUUCCCGGUGUAGCGGUGGAAUGCGUAGAUAUCGGGAGGAACACCAGUGGCGAAGGCGGCCUACUGGGCACCAACUGACGCUGAGGCUCGAAAGUGUGGGUAGCAAACAGGAUUAGAUACCCUGGUAGUCCACACUGUAAACGAUGAUUACUAGGUGUUGGAGGAUUGACCCCUUCAGUGCCGCAGUUAACACAAUAAGUAAUCCACCUGGGGAGUACGACCGCAAGGUUGAAACUCAAAGGAAUUGACGGGGGCCCGCACAAGCAGUGGAGUAUGUGGUUUAAUUCGACGCACCGCGAA
rnacentral:rRNA from 1 species